rnacentral:tRNA from 1 species
GGGGGCAUAGCUCAGUAGGAGAGUACUUGCCUUUCAUGCACAAGGCCCUGGACUUAAUCCCUGGUGCCUCCA